AACAAGUGCAGCAACAGCAGGAGCACUUGCUACGUUUUGAACUCCGACAAAUGGAGAGGGACAUCACUCUCCCAGAGAAAUGACUAAAGGGUGGCAAUAGAUUUUCAGCUAAGCCUUCAACCGAAGGUGCAUAUUUCCUUGAAGAUAUUUCUUCUCACCAAGCCGAGAAUUUUUCAAAGCAGGAGACAGAAAAGGAAAAGCGCCCCGAGUUCGUUAAAGAGCUUCAACUAAAGCUUAUCAGCAAGCCUUGAAGAUAUUUUUUAAUAUGAAGCUGAUGUACUAUCUAGUUCGUUGGAGAUGCCGUCCUGGAAAUGAAGCCAUGACAAGAUUUGAGGACAAAUUUUUAACAAUCUGGGGAGAUUGAUGCGGGAGCAUUGGGCUCUGUCGAUCAACUCAUGUCAAUUCUACAUUUUAGUUAUUGUUACGUAAGAAUUGUUGCCGAUUAUGUGGAAAAGUUAUUGAUACGGUGGACAAGUUGUCGAUUU